rnacentral:rRNA from 1 species
UACAGAGGUCUCGAGCGUUAGGCGGAAUCACUGGGCUUAAAGCGUGUGUAGGUGGAUCGUUAAGUACCUUGUGAAAUCCCACGGCUUAACCGUGGAACUGCUUGGUAUACUGGCGGUCUUGAGCCAGCUAGGGGCUACCGGAACAAAUGGUGGAGCGGUGAAAUGCGUAGAUAUCGGGAGGAACACCAAUGGCGAAGGCAGCUCACUGGGACGGUACUGACGCUGAGACGCGAAAGCGUGGGGAGCAAACAGG